rnacentral:rRNA from 1 species
GACGUAGGGCGCGAGCGUUGUCCGGAUUUAUUGGGCGUAAAGAGCUCGUAGGCGGUUUGUCGCGUCGGCUGUGAAAACCUGGGGCUCAACCCCGGGCCUGCAGCCGAUACGGGCAAACUAGAAUUCGGUAGGGGAGACUGGAAUUCCUGGUGUAGCAGUGAAAUGCGUAGAUAUCGGGAGGAAUACCGAUGGCGAAGGCAGGUCUCUGGGCUGACACUGACGCUCAUGCACGAAAGCGUGGGGAGCAAACAGG